GAGUAAUUAGCUCAGUUGGUUAGAGUGCCUCUCUUACAAAGAGGAUGUCAGCGGUUCAAUUCCGUUAUUACUCA
rnacentral:tRNA from 1 species